rnacentral:rRNA from 1 species
AUUGAACGCUGGCGGCAGGCCUAACACAUGCAAGUCGAACGGUAACAGAAAGCAGCUUGCUGCUUUGCUGACGAGUGGCGGACGGGUGAGUAAUGUCUGGGAAACUGCCUGAUGGAGGGGGAUAACUACUGGAAACGGUAGCUAAUACCGCAUAACGUCGCAAGACCAAAGAGGGGGACCUUCGGGCCUCUUGCCAUCGGAUGUGCCCAGAUGGGAUUAGCUAGUAGGUGGGGUAACGGCUCACCUAGGCGACGAUCCCUAGGUGGUCUGAGAGGAUGACCAGCCACACUGGAACUGAGACACGGUCCAGACUCCUACGGGAGGCAGCAGUGGGGAAUAUUGCACAAUGGGCGCAAGCCUGAUGCAGCCAUGCCGCGUGUAUGAAGAAGGCCUUCGGGUUGUAAAGUACUUUCAGCGGGGAGGAAGGGAGUAAAGUUAAUACCUUUGCUCAUUGACGUUACCCGCAGAAGAAGCACCGGCUAACUCCGUG